UUCCAAUCAGUCAUAAUGACCUUAAGUGGA
rnacentral:piRNA from 1 species